AGCCGUGUGUUGAUGACAUAGCGAACUAUUCUUUCGCCUUUUACUAAAGAAUACCGUGUCAGCGUCACAUUUAGCGGCAUACGCUAGUUUUUGGAAGAGUCUUCUUUUUGGAGGGCUCUGCAAUAUAGUUAAAAUUUUUUCCUUUUUUUACUUAGUAAUUGAGUGACCUACUAAGGCAUUUUAUAAUGUUUAAUAAAAUAAAAAUACAUUAAAGAAUAUAACGGUCUUAAUUAAUUUGUUUGCUUCUUCAUAAGAUAUUGAUUAGUUAUA
rnacentral:lncRNA from 1 species